rnacentral:rRNA from 1 species
GAACGCUUGCUGCAUGCUUUAUACAUGCAAGUCGAACGGAGGCCCUAGCUUGCUAGGUGUCCUUAGUGGCGCACGGGUGAGUAACACGUGGGAACAUACCUCAUAGUACGGAAUAACUGCGGGAAACUGUAGCUAAUACCGUAUAUUCCAGUAAUGGGAAAGAUUUAUCGCUAUGAGAUUGGCCCGCGCAAGAUUAGCUUGUUGGUGAGGUAAUGGCUCACCAAGGCUCCGAUCUUUAGCUGGUUUGAGAGGACGAUCAGCCACACUGGGACUGAGACACGGCCCAGACUCCUACGGGAGGCAGCAGUAGGGAAUAUUGGACAAUGGGGGAAACCCUGAUCCAGCAAUGCAGCGUGAGUGACGAAGGCCUUAGGGUUGUAAAACUCUUUCAUCGGUGAGGAUAAUG